rnacentral:rRNA from 1 species
CCUACGGGAGGCAGCAGUAGGGAAUAUUGCUCAAUGGGGGAAACCCUGAAGCAGCAACGCCGCGUGGAGGAUGAAGGUUUUCGGAGUGUAAACUCCUUUUGGUAGAGAAGAGAAUGACGGUACCUAACGAAUAAUCACCGGCUAACUCCGUGCCAGCAGCCGCGGUAAUACGGAGGGUGCAAGCGUUAUCCGGAAUUACUGGGCGUAAAGGGCGCGUAGGCGGGAUAGCAAGUCAGAUGUGAAAUCCUAUGGCUUAACCCUAGAACUGCAUUUGAAACUAUUAUUCUAGAGUAUGGUAGAGGUAGGUGGAAUUCUUGGUGUAGCGGUGAAAUCCGUAGAUAUCACGAGGAAUACUCAUUGCGAAGGCGGCCUGCUAGAACGUAACUGACGCUGAUGCACGAAAGCGUGGGGAGCAAACAGGAUUAGAUACCCCAGUAGUC